rnacentral:lncRNA from 1 species
GAUCAACCGGAUUUAUAAAAAUAUUGAAAGUUAAUCAAAUUAAAACAUAUUCAAUAUUCAAAAUUAAAUGAACUGAGAAUUAAAACAAAUAUGAAUCAGAAUCAAAUUAAAACUGAGAAUUAGAAUCAGAAUUAGAAUAUGCAAAUCAAAACAAUAAAUCAAGUUAUUAUACUUGGAUUUCGAUUCUACAGAUCAUGAGGAAUUCUUAGAAGCCAUUAGAGGUCGAGUUGUGUAUUGGAAAGAUGACACAAGAGAGAUUGUUGGCAGUAAUCUAUAGAUUACCACUCAAUUAUUCAUUGUAU